UACGUAGGGUGCGAGCGUUAAUCGGAAUUACUGGGCGUAAAGCGUGCGCAGGCGGUUAUAUAAGACAGAUGUGAAAUCCCCGGGCUCAACCUGGGGCCUGCAUUUUUGACUGUAUAGCUCAAAGACGGUAAAGGGGGAUGGAAUUCCGCGUGUAGCAGUGAAAUGCGUAGAUAUGCGGAGGAACACCGAUGGCGAAGGCAAUCCCCUGGACCUGUACUGACGCUCAUGCACGAAAGCGUGGGGAGCAAACAGGAUUAGAUACCCUGGUAGUCCACGCCCUAAACGAUGUCAACUGGUUGUUGGGUCUUCACUGACUCAGUAACGAAGCUAACGCGUGAAGUUGACCGCCUGGGGAGUACGGCCGCAAGGUUG
rnacentral:rRNA from 1 species